rnacentral:rRNA from 1 species
GACAGCCAGGAUGUUGGCUUAGAAGCAGCCAUCAUUUAAAGAAAGCGUAAUAGCUCACUGGUCGAGUCGGCCUGCGCGGAAGAUGUAACGGGGCUAAACCAUGCACCGAAGCUGCGGCAGCGACGCUGAUGCGUUGUUGGGUAGGGGAGCGUUCUGUAAGCCUGCGAAGGUGUGCUGUGAGGCAUGCUGGAGGUAUCAGAAGUGCGAAUGCUGACAUAAGUAACGAUAAAGCGGGUGAAAAGCCCGCUCGCCGGAAGACCAAGGGUUCCUGUCCAACGUUAAUCGGGGCAGG